rnacentral:rRNA from 1 species
UGGGGAAUAUUGCACAAUGGGCGCAAGCCUGAUGCAGCCAUGCCGCGUGUGUGAAGAAGGCCUUCGGGUUGUAAAGCACUUUCAGCGAGGAGGAAGGUGGUGAGCUUAAUACGCUCAUCAAUUGACGUUACUCGCAGAAGAAGCACCGGCUAACUCCGUGCCAGCAGCCGCGGUAAUACGGAGGGUGCAAGCGUUAAUCGGAAUUACUGGGCGUAAAGCGCACGCAGGCGGUUUGUUAAGUCAGAUGUGAAAUCCCCGGGCUCAACCUGGGAACUGCAUUUGAAACUGGCAAGCUAGAGUCUCGUAGAGGGGGGUAGAAUUCCAGGUGUAGCGGUGAAAUGCGUAGAGAUCUGGAGGAAUACCGGUGGCGAAGGCGGCCCCCCUGGACGAAGACUGACGCUCAGGUGCGAAAGCGUGGGGCAGCAAACAGGAUUAGAUACCCUGGUAGUCCAGCGCUGUAAAACGAUGUCGAUUUGGAGGUUGUGCCCUUGAGGCGUGGCUUCCGGAGCUAACGCGUUAAAUCGACCGCCUGGGGAGUACGGCCGCAAGGUU